rnacentral:rRNA from 1 species
AUUGAACGCUGGCGGCAGGCCUAACACAUGCAAGUCGAACGAGUGGCGGACGGGUGAGUAAUGUAUGGGAAACUGCCUGAUGGCGGGGGAUAACUACUGGAAACGGUAGCUAAUACCGCAUACCAUCAGAUGUGCCCAUAUGGGAUUAGCUUGUUGGUGGGGUAACGGCUCACCAAGGCGACGAUCCCUAGCUGGUUUGAGAGGAUGACCAUCCAAACUGGGACUGAGACACGGUCCAGACUCCUACGGGAGGCAGCAGUGGGGAAUAUUGGACAAUGGGCGAAAGCCUGAUGCAGCCAUCCCGCGUGUAUGAUGAAGGCCUUCGGGUUGUAAAGUACUUUUAGCGGGGAGGCGGUACCCGCAGAAGAAGCACCGGCUAACUCCGUGCCAGCAGCCGCGGUAAUAC